ACCUAGUUAUGCUUGAGCAGGCAUUGGGCUCCAGGCCUCUGGCCGCUCCAGAAGGGCACUUGACUGUAAGGAUGAAAUCCUGUCUCUGAGCUGCACUCAGUGUGAAGUGCCACCACCUGCAUCCCCCUGUCUCAGGGUUGUGGAUACCCCCUGGCUGGGCUUCAUGGAGAAAUCUUCUCUGAUCACCAACCUGAAUCCCAGAGUAGCCUCCAUCUUAGGACAGAAUGAGAGGCCUUCUGUAACCAGAUAUAACUGGCCAGCAUGGGGAAAUUGAUCAGGAUGGGGCCGCAAGAGAGGUGGUUACUCCGGACAAAGCGGCUUCAUUGGAGUCGCCUCCUCUUCUUACUGGGAAUGUUGAUCAUCGGUUCUACUUAUCAGCACCUUAGGAGACCCCGGGGCCUUUCCUCAUUGUGGGCAGCAGUCUCUUCUCAUCAGCCUAUAAAACUGGCCAGUCGGGACCUCUCCAGUGAAGAGAUGAUGAUGAUGAGCAGCAGCCCUUCAAAACCUAGCUCCGAAAUGGGGGGUAAGAUGCUGGUACCCCAAGCCUCAGUGGGCAGUGAUGAAGCAACACUGAGCAUGACAGUGGAGAAUAUCCCCAGUAUGCCUAAAAGAACAGCCAAGAUGAUCCCAACAACAACCAAGAAUAAUUACAGCCCAACAGCAGCAGGUACAGAAAGAAGGAAGGAAGACACCCCAACAUCCAGUAGAACACUGACUUACUACACCUCAACUUCAAGCAGACAAAUAGUAAAAAAGUAUACCCCAACACCCAGGGGAGAAAUGAAGAGCUACAGCCCAACUCAAGUGAGGGAAAAGGUGAAGUAUACUCCUUCCCCACGUGGUAGAAGAGUAGGCACUUACGUGCCGUCCACAUUCAUGACAAUGGAAACAAGCCAUGCGAUCACCCCCAGGACAACAGUGAAAGACAGUGACAUUACAGCAACCUAUAAAAUACUCGAAACCAACUCUCUUAAGAGAAUAAUGGAGGAAACCACCCCAACCACUCUCAAGGGAAUGUUUGAUAGCACCCCAACUUUUCUGACACAUGAGGUAGAAGCAAACGUCUUGACUUCUCCAAGGAGCGUCAUGGAAAAAAACAACCUGUUUCCCCCCAGAAGAGUGGAAAGUAACAGCUCAGCCCAUCCCUGGGGGUUAGUGGGAAAGAGCAACCCGAAGACUCCCCAGGGAACAGUCCUGUUGCAUACCCCAGCCACCUCUGAGGGGCAGGUGACAAUAAGCACCAUGACAGGCAGCAGCCCAGCAGAAACCAAAGCCUUCACUGCUGCCUGGAGUCUUAGGAAUCCUUCACCCAGGACCAGUGUAUCAGCCAUCAAAACAGCCCCAGCCAUAGUCUGGAGGCUGGCAAAGAAACCUUCCACAGCACCCAGCACCUCAACAACCCCUACGGUCAGGGCAAAGCUGACCAUGCAGGUCCAUCACUGUGUGGUUGUGAAGCCAACCCCAGCCAUGCUCACCACUCCCUCCCCAAGCCUCACAACAGCCCUGCUCCCAGAGGAGCUCAGUCCUAGUCCCUCAGUGCUGCCUCCCAGCUUGCCAGACCUCCACCCCAAGGGAGAGUACCCCCCAGAUCUGUUCAGUGUGGAGGAGCGGCGGCAGGGCUGGGUGGUCCUGCACGUUUUUGGCAUGAUGUAUGUGUUUGUGGCCUUGGCCAUUGUUUGCGACGAGUACUUCGUUCCAGCCCUGGGUGUCAUCACAGACAAGCUGCAGAUCUCCGAGGAUGUGGCAGGCGCCACAUUCAUGGCUGCUGGAGGCUCUGCUCCUGAGCUCUUCACCUCCCUCAUCGGUGUCUUCAUUUCCCACAGCAACGUGGGCAUUGGUACCAUUGUGGGCUCUGCUGUGUUCAACAUUCUCUUUGUCAUUGGCACUUGUUCCCUCUUCUCCCGAGAGAUCCUCAACCUCACCUGGUGGCCCUUAUUCCGUGAUGUCUCCUUCUACAUCCUUGACCUGAUAAUGCUCAUCCUCUUCUUCCUGGACAGCCUCAUUGCCUGGUGGGAGAGCCUGCUGCUGCUGCUGGCCUAUGCCUUCUAUGUGUUCACCAUGAAGUGGAACAAGCAUAUCGAGGUCUGGGUGAAGGAGCAGCUCAGCAGGAGGCCAGUGGCCAAGGUCAUGGCCUUAGAAGACCUCAGCAAGCCGGGCGAUGGGGCCAUUGCGGUGGAUGAGCUACAGGAUAACAAGAAGCUGAAGCUCCCGUCCUUGCUGACCCGAGGGAGCAGCUCGACCUCUCUGCACAACAGCACCAUCCGCAGCACCAUCUACCAGCUCAUGCUCCACAGCCUGGACCCCCUGAGGGAAGUUCGCCUUGCCAAGGAGAAGGAGGAGGAGAGCUUGAAUCAAGGGGCCAGAGCCCAACCCCAGGCCAAAGCAGAAAGCAAACCAGAAGAGGAGGAGCCAGCCAAGCUCCCUGCGGUCACGGUCACACCAGCCCCUGUUCCAGACAUCAAGGGAGAUCAGAAGGAGAAUCCAGGCGGUCAGGAAGAUGUGGCUGAGGCCGAGAGCACAGGUGAAAUGCCAGGCGAAGAGGGCGAAACUGCUGGUGAAGGUGAAACUGAAGAGAAAAGUGGAGGUGAAACUCAACCAGAAGGUGAAGGUGAAACUGAAACACAAGGAAAAGGAGAAGAAUGUGAAGAUGAAAAUGAAGCAGAAGGAAAAGGAGACAAUGAAGGUGAAGAUGAGGGUGAAAUCCACGCAGAAGAUGGUGAAAUGAAAGGUAAUGAAGGUGAAACUGAAAGCCAGGAACUCAGUGCUGAAAAUCACGGUGAAGCCAAAAAUGAUGAGAAAGGUGUAGAAGAUGGAGGGGGAAGUGAUGGAGGGGAUAGCGAAGAGGAGGAAGAGGAGGAGGAAGAGCAGGAGGAAGAGGAGGAGGAGGAAGAGCAGGAGGAAGAGGAGGAGGAGGAGGAGGAAGAGGAGGAGAAGGGAAAUGAAGAGCCUCUGUCCCUGGACUGGCCUGAAACCAGGCAGAAGCAGGCCAUUUACCUCUUCCUUCUGCCCAUCGUGUUCCCACUGUGGCUGACAGUCCCCGACGUCCGAAGGCAGGAGUCUAGGAAGUUUUUUGUUUUCACCUUCCUGGGAUCUAUCAUGUGGAUAGCCAUGUUCUCAUACCUCAUGGUGUGGUGGGCUCACCAGGUUGGUGAAACAAUAGGGAUUUCUGAAGAGAUCAUGGGCCUGACAAUCCUUGCAGCAGGCACAUCAAUUCCUGACCUCAUCACCAGUGUGAUUGUCGCUCGAAAAGGCCUGGGAGACAUGGCUGUGUCAAGCUCUGUGGGCAGUAACAUAUUUGAUAUCACUGUGGGCUUGCCUGUUCCUUGGUUGCUUUUCUCUCUUAUCAAUGGAUUACAGCCAGUUCCAGUCAGCAGCAAUGGCUUGUUUUGUGCAAUUGUUUUGCUUUUUCUCAUGCUUCUGUUUGUGAUCUCUUCAAUUGCGUCAUGUAAAUGGAGAAUGAACAAGAUCCUGGGCUUCACAAUGUUCCUCCUUUACUUUGUAUUCCUGAUAAUCAGUGUGAUGUUAGAAGAUCGAAUCAUAUCCUGUCCUGUAUCUGUCUGAAUCAGUCACUCUUGCUCACAAUGGGCAUGGAUCAGAAGACCAUGCAGAAGUUACUGUAUCUCUUGUGACCCUAAUGAAAGAAUGUAUAUGAUCCUGGAAAGUGAACUGGGUGACCUAGGACCUCUGAUAUGAAUGUGAUCUGAGACUAAAGUUUGUCCUUGGAAACACCUGCAGCUCAUUGUGGAUUAAGAACCUCACCCCUGGAGGGGUGGAGUUUCUACCCCUGACUCAUGCAGACAUCUAUUACAUGGAGGCAGUAGAAGGACCCCUGGAGCCAGAGGGUUUUCUAAAUGAGAUAACUGGGGGCAAAGGUUGGGAUAGGCGCAGCAGCUAUAAGACAAGCUCCUACGCUCACUGUUCCCUGAUCAUUCCAAAGGCUGCUGGCCCAAAAGAUGCAGAUGUGGUCUACAUCUCAGCCUUCCUGACCUCUGCCCCAAACACACGCUGCAAUUUUGUCUCCUCCUUUUCUGUUCAAAUUGUGAGGUUCUAUCAGGUUUGUAAUCACUGUAGCUUCAGUUAUUGGUGAGUCUAAGGAUCCAAGGCUACAGAAAAAAAAGAAAUAUAACAGGAAUUAAUGAUCAUUCCACGUUUUGUAGCCCACUGCAUCUGGAUAUAUACCAGUAUUUUCUUUUUUUUUUUUUUUGAGACAGAGUUUGGCUCUUGUUGCCCAGGCUGGUGUGCAAUGGCGUGAUCUCGGCACACCACAACCUUCACCUCCCCGGUUCAAGCAAUUCUCCUGCCUCAGCCUGAAGUCGUGAUCUGCCCGCCUCGGCCUCCCAAAGUGCUGGGAUUACAGGCGUCAGCCACCGCGCCUGGCCUAUACCAGUAUUUUCUAGUUUAAAGGAGGACUACAUUAACUCUUAUUGUUGUGUUUCUGAAAAGUGAAAUUUAAAAAGCAGCCUGAAAAAUAAAAAUUUAUAAUUUGCCCUUGAAUUGGAAGGAAUGGAGAUUAGGGAAGGAAAACUACUCUAGAGGCCAUUUAAAAGUAUGUAUUUAUUAGAACAUGCAAAUUCAUGUUGUCUCCAUCAGUGGUCACCUUGAGGGAUUAGACAUUCUAAUGGAAUGUCCUGGCUCCACCCUCCAGCAUGUUCUCACCCAACAAUGACAGUUGAGUGGAGUGGGAAGGGAAGUCAUUCUAAAGAGUCCAAAGUCAGUAGCGCCACAUCUGGUUUAUAAAGUAAGAGAUCCAGUGGGACAAUGCUAUUUUUGUAUGCCAACCUAGAUAGGAUUAUAAAGCAAGACUGAUUUCUUCUGUGGUUUAUGAAUGGAUCUUAAGGUAAUUACAAAAGGGAAAUUCCAAGAAUGCAUAACACAAUGACAACAUGGUGAGAAAAGUGCAGUACUACUUCCAAGGUAGCUAGUGUAAAGGACACUUGAGUUUUUAAAACUGUGGUUAAAUGUUUUAUGUGGAAUUUGAUGAGUUUGUAUAUUAAAUACCACUGCUUGCUGCUUUUACUAGAAUCAAGUUAAGGGACACGUUAGAAAUAGAACAGCUUAAUAUCACUGGCUUCAGAGCAAAAUGAGCUCGGGUGACUGCAGAUUAUGAUGGUAAAUAUGGCUUUAAUUACAAACAUGAGGAAUGAUUCACUGAAGAUGAAAAGAUAGGACGGAUGUGAUAUGAAAAAAACCCAAACAUUUUGGCAUUGAAUGAUGGCUAAGGUGUUCCAAGUAUUCCAUCUUUUAAGAUGAAUUGCUUAAUUAAUUGCCUCGCUACCCCAGGAUUCUCAUUCUUUGGAAAUAAUUUUUAUUAAAUUUCAAUAAACUGUGAAUCCCAAUGGUAUUUUACUUUACAACAUGGAUGGGCUCAUCCUUAUCUUUAGGUCAUUUGGUCAGAAUCCUCCCGAGAAGACUGAUGAAGAGUAUGGAAUCAUGUUCCAAUUCUAUAUUCUUAAUUAUCCUUAUUCCUGAUGCUACUGCAUUGCUGGGUUUCCAUAGCCAAGGCCUAAGAACAGGAGGAGAAGGCAAUGCUUGUGGGAGGGAGGUCCCAAUACCAAAAUUCUGGGCACUAACCUGGUGUCUGCAGCCCGUUCCCGUUAGCCUCGGGGAUGUCACCUCACCCACAGCCUGGGAUCUGACGUUCUUCCUCAGACUGGAGUAAGGAGUGAUGGACCGUAAAAUGCUGUGUAAUGAUAAAAGGCUGAAAUAUCCACUGAAUGAUUAAAACCAACUCUAAUAAUCUGACAUCCUUUUCCCAGUUUGCUGAAUUUCUGGCAUACCCCUUUGCCUAGAAAGGAAGUUCUGAUCACUUUACAGUGUUACAGAAAAGGACAAGUACAAAAAAUGAAAGCUGAGUCUUGAUGAAUGAGUAGGAAUUCACUGGGGGAGAGAGUGAGAUUACUUUGGUGAGAUGGAAAACUUGUGUAACUUUUAAAAGACUAAUUGGUUAUACCUGGAAAUUAAAUUUUUUGGUCACACAUUUACAAACGUACUAUAAUAUUAAAAUCAUGCUGUUUUAGAGGUAAAGUACCAUUUAAAAAUGUCGAGAUAAUAUUGAGAUGGUCCUCUCACUUUAUAGGCAGAAUAUUCUGUAUAUAGUUACUUGUGACAAAUUCUAGGUCAUUCAUUCAGCCUGGAAAGUCUGAACUGUCCCAAAUGGGUAUUUGAAUUGGAAGUCAGUGGCUACAUGGAUGACUUCUACCCCCUUAGGCUGCACUUCCUUGAAGGCCCUGAUAAUAGGUUUGAGCCAGAUUUCUGAAUUCUUCCUCAUUUAAUGGGUUAAGAGUCUAUAUAGUACCAGAAAAAAGAGAUGUAUUCCAAAUUUUUCAAACUAUGUGUUUAAAUGUUUUUUUGUUUUGUUUUGUUUUAAAAAGAGACGGGGCCUUGCCCUGUCACCCAGGCUAGAGUGCAGUGACAUGAACAUGGCUCACUGUAGCCUCACCUUGUGGGCUCAAGCGAUCCUCCCGCCUCAGCCCCCCAAGUAGCUGGGACUACAGAAGUGCACCACCACACCCAGCUGAUUUUUGUAUUUUUUUGUAGAGAUAGGGUUUUGCCAUGUUGCCCAGGCUGAUCUCGAACUCCUGAGCUCAGGCAAUCUGCCCGCCUCGGCCUCCCAAAGUGCUGAGAUUACAGGCAUGAGCCACUGUACCCAGCCAAAAUGGUUACUAUAUAUUUUGAACAUUAUAUUGCACUGUCAUCAAUAGAUUCGAAAAUAGUUUUACCAAAUUACAGGCUUAGUCUUUUAUAGCUGUCUAUAUCAAUAUUAUUUAAAGAUUGAGUACCAAAGGGGGCAGGAAUUGGAAUGUAUUAUCUAGAGCACAGAAUAGUAAAUAAUCAGGAAAAGGGCCGGGCGCGGUGGCUCAUGCCUAUAAUCCCAGCACUUUGGGAGGCCAAGGUGGGCGGAUCACGAGGUCAGUAGAUCGAGACCAUCCUGGCUAACACGGUGAAACCCCGUCUCUACUAAAAAAAUACCAAAAAUUAGCCGGGCGAGGUGGCAGGCGCCUAUAGUCCCAGCUACUCGGGAGGCUGAGGCAGGAGAAUGGCGUGAACCCCGGGGGGCGGAGCCUGCAGUGAGCCGAGAUCGUGCCACUGCACUCCAGCCUGGGCAACAGCGAGACUCCGUCUCAAAAAAAAAGAAAAAAUAAAUAAUCAGGAAGAAUUGGUUGGCCUUAUGUGCCAAUGAAUACUCUUGGUUCUGACCCUUUUUUGGUGGGAGGGUCCUCCAGCAGGUGCAGCUUGCAAUGUGUACGGGGACUGGAUGCUAUGAAAGAUGUAAUGAGAGGGCUCAUGAGCAGAGCUGCCUAUCCCUGGGGGUUCACUAACGCCUACAGGACAUCCUGGCCCAAGUCUGCCUGCACAACUAAAGGCACACUUCUGGUCUUUAGGUCCUUCGCUGUAUGAGCAAGCAAAACCUGGAGAAUUUCACUUGCAGAAAAUCCACCAGUUGCUGCAAUAGUUUUAUCAUAGUACUACAUUUGAAAAAAAAAUAUUUAAAUAGUAAAGGAGGGAGCCAUCCAAAUGAACAGGAACUGUGGAAAGGCAGCAAUAACUUUAUCAGAAGAAUCUAUUACCAUCUCAGAGUACAAGCACAUGCGCAGACUUUUGUAAUCAAAGAUGAAAAUUCUUCAAUUUGUGUACUGCUAAUUUUGUUAAGAAAUAUAAGCCAGCCAAUAUGCUUACUUUGAGGCCAAAGGAGCAAGGUAGUAUGAGGAUGUUAAGACACCAAGUACUAAGGAUAUUAAGGUAAACUGGUAUGCAGCUGCUAGAGGGUUCAGUUUUGAAAUAAAGCUUAGUCUUAUAUCCAGACAGGAAGAGGCAGCACAUGCUAACUUUAGCACGAAGGACAAGGGUCUUCUCAAAGAGACAGCCUGCUCUUUCUCUUCUUGCUCUGAGAUAAAGUGCCAAAUAGCAGCUUUCAAGUUCUAGUGAGAGAAAUAAAAAUAAAGCUGGGCUACUGCACAUCACCAAACAAAUAGGUAUUUUCAUAUCGCAUAUUACAAAGUAGAGGUUGAGUAUCCCUUAUCAGAAAUGUUUCGGACCAGAAGUGUUUUGGAUUUCAGAUGUUUUUGAAAUUUGGAAUAUUUGAAAAAUACAAACUGGUUGAACAUCCCAAAUAUGAAAUCCAAAAUGCUCAAAUGAGCAUUUCCUUUGAGCAUCAUGUCGGUAUUCAAAAAGUUUUGGAUUUUGGAGCACUUGAUUCCAGGAGCUCAGCCUGUAUUUAGAAAUUAAGCAUAACUUCUAAAUAGAGCUAGCUAAUACUUGCUGGUUGCACUUAAGUAUCAUAGUAAUUAUCAGCAUAAAGUAAAAAUAAGUAUUUACUGCCUAAAAUGUUGAACCAAUGUUUUCUGGGACCAUUUCUCUAAAUACACAAAUGGGGAGACAUACUAGAAAACCUUACAAUUAAAUAUGCUGGUAGUGUUAGGGUUUUAGAGCAAAACAGAAAUCCAACCCCCAAGAAAGUCAGGGAAAAGAAGACAAAAAUCAGAAGAUGAACAGCUGCAUAUUUCUCCACCUAACACUAGGAGGAAAAAGUAGAAUAUUUGAAAUACGAUAUGGAAUACAAAUCUGUGCCAUUUAGAACAUAAUGGUAGGACGUAGUAAACAAGCUACAUCAGCACAGGACAUGGUUUAUUGUCAACCAUUUAAACAUAUAAACAAAACUAAGAGUAAGAAAAUAAAAGACAGAUGCUGUAGCAAAAGGGCAUUUCUCUCCAACAUGAUUGGCCAUUAUUCUCCAAAAUGUAUGGUUAACAGAAAAUUGAAGAAAAGUUUGUAUAGAGUUAUUUUAAAUGAUUGAUAUUUUCUGGUUUUUUUUUUUUUUUUUUUUUUUUUUUUUGAGACAGGGUCUUGCUCUGUAAUCCAGGCUAGAGUGCAAUGGCAUGAUCACAGCUCAUUGCAGCCCCAAACCCCCAGGCUCAAAGUGAUCCUCCUGCUUCAGCCUCCCGAGUAGCUGGGAUUACCAAGCAUGAGCCACCAUACCGAGCAAAUUUAAAAAAUUUUUUUGUAGAGACAGGGUCUCUCUAUGUUGCUCAGGCUGGUUUUGAACUCCUGGACUCAAGCAAUCCUCCCUGCUUCAGCCUCCCAAAGUGCUGGGAUUACAGGCCUCCAUGAGCAACCACGCCCAGCUCAAGAAUGAUUCACAUUUUAAUUUUCUUUUGAACAGGUUUACCACUUUGUAUUUGUGUUUUAGGUUUUAAGACUAAAUCUGUGCAAUAAUAUUCCCUAGGGAUUAAAAGUAGGGGAAAUACAACCCUCUCCAAAAGCAGAAACAAAACUUGGGGUGGAAAGAGGAGGUAAAAAUUACAUUCGCUUUUCCAAAUGAGUCUGAAUCGUAAAACCAUAAAGAAUGGUUUUACUCAUUCUUUGUCAGCCAUUUGAAAUCAAUAAACUAUGAUUCCUACAUUUUGUUUGUAUUACACAAAAAGUAAACAACAAUGAAAGCUGUUUUUAAAAGAAUAAAAACCACCAACCACAAAUAGAAGAGAACCCCAGACGGUUCUCUUGGAGGGAUGUUUAUCACCAGUGCCAAAAGCCUCCCCCCUCUGAAAUGUUUCUCUCAGUUGACAACUUUCAAAUGAUUUAAAGAACAUGAAGAACAAGUAGAACAUGAAGCUUGGAUCUGAAUAGUAAAGAAUAAUAUUGGAGUGGUAUUUACAAAGGAGAGGCAGAUAUAUGUGCCUAGCACCAGAUUUUUCAAGUAAGCAAGUUCAGCCCCAAACUAACUGAAGUUUUACAUUUUUAAACUCUCUCCAUUAUUUCCCAGAGUUGGAAGCUGUGAAAUGUUUCAGCAUGGUGCUAUUCACUAAUGGUGUGAACUCAAAAGAUUCUACAGACUUCAGAUUCUGAAGCUUGUUGAAAAAGCUAAGUUCCUCAAUAUGGAUGAAAAUCUAUCUGGCUGUACUUUUAGAGGGGAAUUUUUCUACUUUUGAAAAAAAUUCUGAAUAUUUAUAUAUAGUAUUAACAGAAUACCCCAGUAAGUCAUAUUUCAGAUAAAUAUUCUAUAGUAUAAUUUGCAUCAUACCCAAUAUUUUAGAUAUUAAAAUAAGGGUAAAAUUUGGAAUAUAAUCACUUGUCUGCAUAUUUCCCAAUGUAAGUUUUCAUGUAGAAUAUUAAAAUUUAAAUUGAUAUUUGGA